UAUUAUGUUGUGGCAGCCAAUACUGCAAGGAUAUUCAGUGAGGCAGGGUCUACCAUUGACGACAGCGUAGCUUCUAUUAUAGUUGUAUCUGUACAGCUCGUGGCUAGCGCUUUUGCAAGCAUCCCAAUCGAUAAACUAGGGCGAAGAAAGAGCCUGAUUAUGUCCUACAGCAUAAUGAGCGUACCCUUGGCAGUAAUGGCUGCUUACUUCGGCAUUUUCAGUGACGAUACGCAAGAAGAGACCAACCCGUAUGGUUGGAUCCCUGUUGUCUGUUUGGUGACUUCUCAAGCAGCAGUGGUUCUGGGCGCAAAUCCAAUUCCUUUCAUUCUCAGCAAUGAAUACUUCCCCACUUUUAUUCGCCCUCAGGCCAGCAGCAUUUGUUUUGUCAUUGCCACCUUUAUGGGAUUCAUACUCCUCCAGUUUUACACCCCGAUGGUCGAAGGGAUGACUCUGGCUGGAGUCUUUGCAUUUUACGCCUGUUCUUGUGUCGCUGGCAUCCCUUACACAUUCUUCUUCAUAAGGGAAACCAAGGGAAAGCAUGUUGGUUGAUGCCUCCUUAAGGGCCAUAGACCCGUACGCUGCUCCUCUUACCCAGACUUAGCUUGCCCUGACUGGGUAUGGUGGGUAAACAUUCCCAAAGUGUGUGUACUUGGAGUCUCAAGUCAUACAUGCGUCAGUAUAUCGACGAACAGACAAGCGUCAGGGAUCUAUAGGGAAGGACUACUCUGUUUCAUUGUUUUGGGUAAUAUACAGAAGAAUGCAGGAAGGAAUAAUUGAUGUGAUAAUAAAAAACCCAUAAAUAGAGUGUUACAAGCAAUUUCGGACAUAUUGCAGUGAUUUUCAUUAUUCCAUGAGUAGUUGAAAGGUAAACAGUGCGAUUCUAAAACAGAUUAUGGUUGUCGUGAGAUAUUGCUAUAAAACACAUAGGAGCUCCAAAAUGUUAGUGUGACAUCACAGUUGCAGUUAAGAGAAAAUAAGUAAAGCAAGUAAGAUGCUCAUUGCCAGCAAACCACAGUUCCAUUUGGUGAUAUGUGAGUCUGAAUCCACUUCUCAUCUCUGCCAUGUUUUUGUGUCCAAUUCUGGACCAUUAGCUUAAGUGAAAAUCAAUAUUUUUCAAGAUUAAAGGUAGCCCAGGACCAUGUAUGAAAAUUUGCUCAUUUGGUUCCCAGCUACUGUUUUGGGAUAGAUUCGUGACCUUUCCACCGUCCAACAACGAUUAUGGACUAGAUUCGCUUUCGAUACCAAAGAUAGUCUGGGUAACAUCUCUCUUUUCUUUAUUGAUUCAAUGUAAUAGAUAAUUUUUCGGCUGUCUACGGGCCGCGGGUGUAAAAUAUUAAGUAUUUUGAUAUUGCAAAAAUCAUUUUUAAUGUCGCUAUUUAGCCAUUUUGUCAUAAGCGUGUUACCAUUUGCAUGCUUUGGGCCAGGAGUUCAUGGUUAACAUAGUCUCAUCUAUCCUUCUAUCAACUUUUGCUCCCGACAAUGCUUUAGGAUCAUUUUGAUGCCUAUUUAGCACCAGAUUAAGGGAAGAGGAUCUAACCAAAUCAUGUCCUUUUCACGGGAUUCAGUUUCGUCACAAAUAUUUCCAUACAACAUUUUUUUAUUUAAAUUUGAAUAGAGUUGAUGUGUUUAGCUUUUGAACGAUUAUCAAUUCUUGAAUUUGUGCUGGAUUGCUUAAGUUAAAUUAUGUGUACUGAGGAGUAUUUAUUACAGUUUUCUUUAUAUCCUAAAGUAAAGAGCACCUUUUAUAAAAAUCCAUUAUGUAAUGAGAAAGAUAAAAACCAAGAAUAUUACUUAGAAUUAUUGGAAGCAAUAAUAAUGAAAAUUGCUAAGUAUAUUUCAUUAUAUUGAUUAUUACCAGAUAUUUAUUAAAACACGAUUGCUGUUAGAUAAACUCUGAUUGAAAUUAGAGAGUUCAUUUCCAUGUCAAAUCAGAUAUCAACUUAAUCACAAAUAGAGAGAAGGUAGGUAGACAAAUACGGCAGAUAAUGAGCAUUUUUUAUGUUACAAGACAAUAGCACUGUCAAGCAUUGUUAAAGGCAGGCAAAAGGCUUUUUUAUAUACAAGUAAAAGGACUUUUAUCAUAUUUGUAAAACGAUUAUGAAGUGAAAUGAUCCAAAAAAAUCAUUUAAAUGAUUGGGAUAUUGUGUUAGCUGUCGAUCCUAUGUAAACUUCAGUGUAAAAACAAAGGAGUUUUAGAAUUUCGAGCUUUGGCUUCUAUAUCAUAAAAGUAAAUCCUGAAAAGGCACAUCUCUCGGUCACACCCACGCACGGACAUGUGCGUUUUGCUUCAUUAAUUGGCAUCGGUUAUAUUCCACUCCAAAACUGGCUGUCCUUGAGUCUAUAUAAAUAUAGACAUUGCUAUAAAUAUAAAUAUAGACUGUUGAAAUUCACCACAGCGGAUUUUCACAAGAAUAGAUAGUUGACAAAUUCAUAGGUUUUUCUGCACUAGUAUGUUGUUGAUCAUUAGCAUGUAUCAGUCCAUGGUUUAAUAAAAGUAGGUAUCUCUGGUAAAUGCUUUAUUAUUUUACUUGUUUGUCAAAAUACCUAAAAAAUGUAAUAAAAUGCUGUUACUCCAAAACUGUAAAAUAAAGACAUCGCUAACAACUCUCGCUACUUGUAAAAAAAA